CGGCACGCAGGUCCCGCCUCCUGAGGACGGUGUCCAGCCAGCACAGAGACUGCACUCAAGGGAUGUGGGAACGGCUGAUUGAACGUGAACUGCGGUCAUUAAAUCUUUUAUGUCUGUGUUAAUAUCUACAAAUAAGCCUUAAUUUCUGUAGUUUCUGCAUAUCUCACACGGUUCCUGGCAAAUUGAAGAGUGUUUCAUGAAUUCAGGACUUUAUUGUGUUUGCUGUGAAUCAGUUUGUUUUGUACUGACGAUGAUGUUGGCUAACUCCCUUGUAACUAGUACUUAUUUGAAAUAAUGUCCUCGGGAUUAUUUUAAGCAAUGUUUAAGUAUGAAAUCAUUUCAUUCUCCUAACAUCUCAAGGAAUAUACUAUUAUAUUCUACUUUACAAAAGGGGAAACUGAGGAACGGGGAAGUUAAGUGGAAGCUAAGUGGAAGAAUCCAGAUAAUUGACCUCUCCUUCUAUUGGUAUGCAAUUGCUAGAGCAAUGAUAGUCCUCCGGUAGAGCCUUAGACAUUGUGUUUAUUGCAUUCCUGUUCCACCCACUGCAUUCCGGAUACUCCAACUUACUUCCAACACACAUAUGCAGGCGUCUCUAAAAUUCCGGAGAUAUGGUCACCAAUUAUUUUUAUGUGCGACAUGCUCAAAUCUUAAUAUAGUAAACGCUUGUAUAUUCAUAAACCAGCUUAAUAAAUGAAACAUUACCAU
rnacentral:lncRNA from 1 species